GGGCGAUUGGCGCAGCUGGCUAGCGCGCCUGCAUGACACGCAGGAGGUCACAGGUUCGAGUCCUGUAUCGCCCA
rnacentral:tRNA from 3 species